UACGAAGGGGACUAGCGUUGUUCGGAAUUACUGGGCGUAAAGCGCACGUAGGCGGAUUGCUAAGUCAGGGGUGAAAUCCCGGGGCUCAACCUCGGAACUGCCUUUGAUUCUGACAAUCUCGAGUCCGAUAGAGGUGGGUGGAAUUCCUAGUGUAGAGGUGAAAUUCGUAGAUAUUAGGAAGAACACCGGUGGCGAAGGCGGCCCACUGGAUCGGUACUGACGCUGAGGUGCGAAAGCGUGGGGAGCAAACAGG
rnacentral:rRNA from 1 species